rnacentral:rRNA from 1 species
GACGAACGCUGGCGGCGUGCUUAACACAUGCAAGUCGAACGGUAAGGCCCUUCGGGGUACACGAGUGGCGAACGGGUGAGUAACACGUGGGUGAUCUGCCCUGCACUUCGGAAUAAGCCUGGGAAACUGGGUCUAAUACCGGAUAGGACCACUGCCUGCAUGGGUGGUGGUGGAAAGCUUUUGCGGUGUGGGAUGGGCCCGCGGCCUAUCAGCUUGUUGGUGGGGUGAUGGCCUACCAAGGCGACGACGGGUAGCCGGCCUGAGAGGGUGACCGGCCACACUGGGACUGAGAUACGGCCCAGACUCCUACGGGAGGCAGCAGUGGGGAAUAUUGCGCAAUGGGCGCAAGCCUGAUGCAGCGACGCCGCGUGAGGGAUGACGGCCUUCGGGUUGUAAACCUCUUUCAGCACCGACGAAGCGCAAGUGACGGUAGGUGCAGAAGAAGGACCGGCCAACUACGUGCCAGCAGCCGCCGCCG